rnacentral:rRNA from 1 species
UACAGAGGUGGCAAGCGUUGUUCGGAAUUACUGGGCGUAAAGGGCGCGUAGGCGGUCUUAUAAGUCUCGUGUGAAAUCCCUCGGCUUAACUGAGGAACUGCACGGGAUACUGCAAGACUUGAGAUCGGGAGAGGGAAGCGGAAUUCUGGGUGUAGCGGUGAAAUGCGUAGAUAUCCGGAGGAACACCGGUGGCGAAGGCGGCAUCCUGGACCGACACUGACGCUGAGGAGCGAAAGCCAGGGGAGCAAACGGG